rnacentral:rRNA from 1 species
UACGAAGGGGGCUAGCGUUGCUCGGAAUUACUGGGCGUAAAGGGCGCGUAGGCGGACAGUUAAGUCAGAGGUGAAAGCCCAGGGCUCAACCCUGGAAUAGCCUUUGAUACUGGCUGUCUUGAGUGCGGGAGAGGUGUGUGGAACUCCGAGUGUAGAGGUGAAAUUCGUAGAUAUUAGGAGGAACACCGGUGGCGAAGGCGGCUAUCUGGCUGGAAACUGACGCUGUUGCACGAAAGCGCGGGGAGCAAACAGG